rnacentral:lncRNA from 1 species
CACGCCGCGCCCGGCAGCCCUCGGCGCUGUCAUGGCGGCCGGGAGCAGCUUCAGUGGGCGCAGGGACGGCGGUGCGAGCCGUGGCGGGGCGAGUUGUGGCAGUAGCAUCCUCAUCACCAUCAGCAGCCUUAAUCGUGGCGUCGGUGACGCCAGCAGUGGCUGUUUUUGCAAAGGCUGAGCGCAGGGGUGGGGCGGGCCAGGAAACCAUGGAGUUCUGUGCAGCCGCGGGCUCCCGGGGAGCGGACUAGGGAAACUUGGAGGCUGCGACCAGGUGCACUGACCUCUCUCCUUCCUCCUCUCCUCGCCCUGGGGCCUCCCGGGCUGCCUCCCUUCCCUUCCUGCCACAGCACACACCUCCCCUCCUCUCGCCACCGAACCUCAGGUGCCCGAGAGAGGUGCUCCACUCCUCCCCCUGGGCCGAGCGUUGAGAUAAUCACCGCCCCCUUCCCCCGCCUUUUCCUGCCCUGGUUCUCCGCCGCCACCUCCGUCUGGCUGCUCCCUGGCAGGGGGCGAGGACAAGUCCGGAGUGUUGGGUGAGGAGGAACUUUCUGCCUCGGUGGUGGCGUGGGGGG